rnacentral:rRNA from 1 species
ACGGGUGAGUAACGCGUUGGUGACCUACCCCAAAGUGUGGGAUAACAGUCCGAAAGGAUUGCUAAUACCGCAUGUGGUCUCUGGGUUUAGAAACCGGUGACUAAAGGAGCAAUUCGCUUUGGGAGGGACCUGCGUCCCAUCAGCUAGUUGGUGAGGUAACGGCUCACCAAGGCGACGACGGGUAGGGGACCUGAGAGGGUGGCCCCCCACAAUGGAACUGAAACACGGUCCAUACACCUACGGGUGGCAGCAGUAGGGAAUAUUGCACAAUGGGCGAAAGCCUGAUGCAGCAACGCCGCGUGCACGAUGAAGGCCUUCGGGUCGUAAAGUGCUUUUCUGCGAGAUGAGAAAGGACAGUAUCGUAGGAAUAAGUCUCGGCUAACUACGUGCCAGCAGCCGCGGUAAAACGUAGGAGGCGAGCGUUAUCCGGAUUCACUGGGCGUAAAGCGCGUGCAGGUGGUUCGGUAAGUUGGGCGUGAAAUCUCCCGGCUCAACUGGGAGAGGUCGUUCAAUACUACCGAACUUGAGAGCAGAAGAGGAAGAUGGAAUUCCCGGUGUAGUGGUGAAAUGCGUAGA